CCGCGGGAACACCGGCGGCCCGAGUGGUGAUCGUGAUUAUUGGGUCUAAAGGGUCCGUAGCCGGUUUGGUCAGUCCUCCGGGAAAUCUGAUAGCUCAACUAUUAGGCUUUCGGGGGAUACUGCCAGACUUGGAACCGGGAGAGGUAAGAGGUACUACAGGGGUAGGAGUGAAAUCUUGUAAUCCCUGUGGGACCACCUGUGGCGAAGGCGUCUUACCAGAACGGGUUCGACGGUGAGGGACGAAAGCUGGGGGCACGAACCGGAUUAGAUACCCGGGUAGUCCCAGCCGUAAACGAUGCUCGCUAGGUGUCAGGCAUGGCGCGACCGUGUCUGGUGCCGCAGGGAAGCCGUGAAGCGAGCCACCUGGGAAGUACGGCCGCAAGGCUGAAACUUAAAGGAAUUGGCGGGGGAGCACAACAACGGGUGGAGCCCUGCGGUUUAAUUGGACUCAACGCCGGACAACUCACCGGGGGCGACAGCAAUAUGUAGGCCAAGCUGAAGACUUUGCCUGAAUCGCUGAGAGGAGGUGCAUGG
rnacentral:rRNA from 1 species